UGGAGCUGCCAUUGGUACAGAUCUUGGUGGUAGUAGCAAAUAAUCGAAUGAGACCUUGGAGGACUGAAGUGGAGAAGGGUUUCGUGUGAACAGUGGUUGAUCACGAGUUAGUCGGUCCUAAGUUCAAGGCGAAAGCCGAAAAUUUUCAAGUAAAACAAAAAUGCCUAACUAUAUAAACAAAGCGAAUAUAAUACACUUGAAUAAUUUUGAACGAAAGGGAAUACGGUUCCAAUUCCGUAACCUGUUGAGUAUCCGUUUGUUAUUAAAUAUGGGCCUCGUGCUCAUCCUGGCAACAGGAACGACCAUAAAGAAGCCGUCGAGAGAUAUCGGAAGAGUUUUCUUUUCUGUUUUAUAGCCGUACUACCAUGGAAGUCUUUCGCAGAGAGAUAUGGUAGAUGGGCUAGAAGAGCAUGACAUAUACUGUUGUGUCGAUAUUUUCUCCUCGGACCUUGUAAAUUUAUGGUGGGGACACGCAAACUUCUCAACAGGCCGUACCAAUAUCCGCAGCUGGUCUCCAAGGUGAAGAGUCUCUAGUCGAUAGAAUAAUGUAGGUAAGGGAAGUCGGCAAAUUAGAUCCGUAACUUCAGGAUAAGGAUUGGCUCUGAAGAUUGAGAUAGUCGGGCUUGAUUGGGAAACAAUAACAUGGUUUAUGUGCUCGUUCUGGGUAAAUAGAGUUUCUAGCAUUUAUGUUAGUUACUUGUUCCCCGGAUAGUUUAGUUACGUAGCCAAUUGUGGAACUUUCUUGCUAAAAUUUUUAAGAAUACUAUUUGGGUUAAACCAAUUAGUUCUUAUCAAUUAUAACGAUUAUCAAUUAACAAUCAACUCAGAACUGGCACGGACUUGGGGAAUCCGACUGUCUAAUUAAAACAAAGCAUUGUGAUGGCCCCUAGCGGGUGUUGACACAAUGUGAUUUCUGCCCAGUGCUCUGAAUGUCAAAGUGAAGAAAUUCAAGUAAGCGCGGGUCAACGGCGGGAGUAACUAUGACUCUCUUAAGGUAGCCAAAUGCCUCGUCAUCUAAUUAGUGACGCGCAUGAAUGGAUUAACGAGAUUCCUACUGUCCCUAUCUACUAUCUAGCGAAACCACAGCCAAGGGAACGGGCUUGGAAUAAUUAGCGGGGAAAGAAGACCCUUUUGAGCUUGACUCUAAUCUGGCAGUGUAAGGAGACAUAAGAGGUGUAGAAUAAGUGGGAGAUAUUAGACCUCGGUUUGGUAUCGUCAAUGAAAUACCACUACUCUUAUUGUUUCCUUACUUACUUGAUUAAAUGGAACGUGUAUCAUUUCCUAGCCAUUAUACGGAUAUAUUUAUUAUAUCUUAUGGUAUUGGGUUUUGAUGCAAGCUUCUUGAUCAAAGUAUCACGAGUUUGUUAUAUAAUCGCAAACAAAUUCUUUAAUAAAACGAUGCAUUUAUGUAUUUUUGAUUUGAAAAUUUGGUAUAACUCCAAUUACUCAGGUAUGAUCCAAUUCAAGGACAUUGCCAGGUAGGGAGUUUGACUGGGGCGGUACAUCUCUCAAAUAAUAACGGAGGUGUCCCAAGGCCAGCUCAGUGCGGACAGAAACCACACAUAGAGCAAAAGGGCAAAUGCUGACUCCGCCUCAUCGGUGUUCAGUACACACAGGGACAGCAAAAGCUCGGCCUAUCGAUC
rnacentral:ncRNA from 1 species